rnacentral:rRNA from 1 species
GACGAACGCUGGCGGCGUGCUUAACACAUGCAAGUCGAACGGAAAGGCCCUGCUUUUGUUGGUUUCUCGAGUGGCGAACGGGUGUGUAACACGUGAGUAUCCUGCCCUUGUCUUUGUGAUAACUUCAGGAAACAGGGGCUAUUAUCGCAUAGGAUCUCCUGCUGCAUGUUGUGGGAUGGAAAGUUUCGGCGGUUGGGGCUGGUCUGGCGGCUUAUCCGCUUGUAGGUGUGGUAGUGGCUUACCAAGGCUUUGACGGGUAGCCGGCCUGAGAGGGUGACCGGGCACAAUAGGACUGCGAGACGCAGCAGACGCGUACGGGAGGCAGUAGUGGGGAGUAUUGCAGAACGGGGGGACGUCUGAUGCGGCAGCGCCGCGUGCGGGAUGACGGCCUUCGAGUUGUAAACCGCUUUGGCAUGUGACGAGGCGUGAGUGACGGUAAUGGGUAAGGAAGCACCGGCUAACUACGUG